GGAGGAGUGGCCGAGUGGUCGAAGGCAGCGGUUUUGAAAACCGCCGAACGGGCAACUGUUCCAGGGGUUCGAAUCCCUUCUCCUCCG
rnacentral:tRNA from 1 species